UUGGCCCUGAAUCAAGGCUAGCAAUUUGCUGAAGCUGCUGCUUUCAAACAGGAGCCUAGAGAAAUGUCUCUCUAUGGUCUGUUCACCAUUUCAGAAACUUGGAAAUGCAAUGGGCAAUUCAUUAGAAAGAAAUAUCU